CCUAACGGCUGAACCAGCAACUUGUGUGAAUGAAAAAGCAUUUUGUUUAAUAAGCAAAGUGUAGUUUUUUUGUCAUAGAUACGACAGCUAUCUUUAAUAAAACCAAAAGUUUUAUGGGUAGUAAUUGAGUUAAAGAAUAGGGAUAGAAAGCCGACCCAGAGAGGACCCGAACGGUUAACUUGAUUUUUUGAAAGCUUCGGCUAUUAGCGAUUUACUCGCAUAAAUUUCCAUACAGAAUACGGAUGAUGACUAUUUUCUGUAUGAUAGUCUUGACCAAAACACGUGCCAGCAGUCGCGGUAACACGGUAUUAGACGAGUGUUAUUCAUCUUUAAUAGGUUUAAAGGGUACCUAGACGGCAAAUUUAACCCCCACGGGGUUGGGAUGGUACAUUUUUGCUAGAGUUUUAUGUGAGAGGAAUUUAGUACUAACAGAGUAGAGAUGAAAUUCUUUGAUACUGUAGGGCACUGAUAAUGGCGAAGGCAGACCUUUAUGUAAAAACUGACGUUGAGGGACGAAGGCUUGGGUAACAAACAGGAUUAGAUACCCUAAUAGUCCAAGCAGAGAAUGAUGAGUGCCAUAGAUUAGGUUAUCAUUGAUCUAUAAAUGAAAGUGAAAGCAUUCCACCUUAAGAGUAAUGCGGCAACGCAGGAACUGAAAUCAUUAGACCGUUUCUGAUACCAGUAGUGAAGUAUGUUGUUUAAUUCGAUGAUCCGCGAAAAAUCUUACCACAAUUUGAAUAUUAUAGCAACUAUAGGAAAGUCUUUUAAUUAUAUUAAUUUGAUGUAACUGCUAUUAAUACAGGUGUUGCAUGGCUGUUUUUAGUUGGUGUCGUGAGAUGUAGGUUAAAACCUAUGUAAUCAACGUGAACCCUUGCUCUAUUUUAUAAAUUAAUACAUGGAGUCGAUUGUUUGAUACGUCGAACAAAUAACAGGGAUCAAUACAAGUCCUCAUGGCCC
rnacentral:rRNA from 1 species